rnacentral:rRNA from 1 species
UACGUAGGGGGCAAGCGUUGUCCGGAAUCAUUGGGCGUAAAGAGCGUGUAGGCGGCUCGGUAAGUCCGCUGUGAAAGUCCAGGGCUCAACCCUGGAAGGCCGGUGGAAACUGCCGGGCUAGAGUCCGGAAGAGGCGAGUGGAAUUCCCGGUGUAGCGGUGAAAUGCGCAGAUAUCGGGAGGAACACCAAUGGCGAAGGCAGCUCGCUGGGACGGUACUGACGCUGAGGCGCGAAAGCAUGGGGAGCAAACAGG